rnacentral:tRNA from 1 species
GUAAUGAUGGUUCAGUGGUAGAAUUCUCACCUUUCAUGUGGGAUACCUGGGUUUAUUUCCUGGCCAAUGCA